rnacentral:rRNA from 1 species
GGCCCGAGUUGUAAUUUGUAGAGGAUGCUUUUGGCGAGGUGCCUUCCGAGUUCCCUGGAACGGGACGCCACAGAGGGUGAGAGCCCCGUAUGGUCGGACACCGAGCCUCUGUAAAGCUCCUUCGACGAGUCGAGUAGUUUGGGAAUGCUGCUCAAAAUGGGAGGUAUAUGUCUUCUAAAGCUAAAUAUUGGCCAGAGACCGAUAGCGCACAAGUAGAGUGAUCGAAAGAUGAAAAGCACUUUGAAAAGAGGGUUAAAAAGUACGUGAAAUUGUUGAAAGGGAAGCGCCUAUGACCAGACUUGGGCCCGGUGAAUCACCCAGCGUUCUCGCUGGUGCACUUUGCCGGGCACAGGCCAGCAUCAGUUCAGCGCGGGGGAGAAAGGCUUCGGGAAUGUGGCUCCCUCGGGAGUGUUAUAGCCCGCUGCGUAAUGCCCUGCGCCGGACUGAGGUACGCGCAUUGCAAGGAUGCUGGCGUAAUGGUCAUCAGCGACCCGUCUUGAAACACGGACCAAGGAGUCGUCUUCGUAUGCGAGUGUUCGGGUGUCAAACCCCUACGCGUAAUGAAAGUGAACGUAGGUGAGAGCUUCGGCGCAUCACCGACCGAUCCUGAUGUUCUCGGAUGGAUUUGAGUAAGAGCAUACGGGGCCGGACCCGAAAGAAGGUGAACUAUGCCUGUAUAGGGUGAAGCCAGAGGAAACUCUGG